CCAGCUCUAGUAAAGUUUUAUCAUGGAAAGCUUCAUCUUGGUAGAUAGAUAUAUACCAUCUUGCCUCUAGCCUCUCCAAACCUUUUCUAAUGGGCCGGUUCAGGGCAUGAGCAACUUGUUCUGCAAGAGGAUAUCCUAAACUUUCUACCAUGGCCUUGAGGUGAGUGGUGGUGAAAGCAAGUGCUUCUGCAAGUAUGUCCUCUCCAUGAACCCUGAGAUGUGCAGCUUCAUACAAGCCUAGCAUGCCUCGUACAUUUGUGAUCAAAACUUCCUUGAAUCUACCUCGUUCAUCCGUAAACUUUUUGAAUAUAUCUACACAAACAUCACCACUUGAACAUAAGAUUUAAAUGAUAAGAAGGUUGAAUAUAAUUUUUUCUUAUUCAGUGAUAAUUAAUCCUUAAGUCUCUUACCACAUGAAAUACUGUACCCUUGUUGCCUUAGUAGUCGAAAUCCAAGAGCAACAUUAUAGAGAUCACCAUCAAUAUCAUUGAGGUCAUGAAAACUAUUAUAAAUAUGUUGUAAUGCUUCUUCUAUCUCUUGUUCAAAGUUGUAUGCCACCCCAAGCCGUUGCACUGCAUCAAUGAAGUUUAGCAGUUGGGAACGGUUAGCAGUAGCAGCCGUUAAUUUCCUUUUCACUUCCUUUUUCAGAUCCUCAAUCUGCUCCACCUUGCAGGCGCGUGUAACCUAGACCAACAAAUUUUGUCAUCCAACAUCGAGAAAAAUAACUUCUAAAUAAUUAUAUAAAUAUAAUUUCAUUGAAUUACCUUGUCUUCAGGGGUGUAGGUGAUAAAUUGGUCACCCCAAAUGUUGGGGUGAAAAUUUGCCACAGGACGAUUUUUGGGUUUAGGAAUCUGGGCUAGAGAACAUGCUGAGACUUGAGUAGACAUGUUAAUUUCUUGGGACAAUGACUGAACAGUACUAUACCUUGAAUGAUGAAUUGGUAAGUAUGAGAGAAAUAGCUUGGCAUUCAGUGCAUGGUUGUAUGCAGUUGAAAAGUACGUGGAAUUUGGUUUGGUUUUGGGGCCCAUGAUAUGGAAGGGUUGUGCACUGAAGAGACCACAAGAAUCUUAUCCCAAUGAAGAUAUACGCUAGUCCACUUAGCAUAAAAAUCUUAUCUCAAUUAUUAAAAUCAAUCAUCUCUCCAAUUAAAAGAUAAUGGACGAUUUAAAAUGAAUUGUUUAAAUCUACGAAUUAUCUAUAAACAAAUUAUCUAUUUACAAAUAAUCUUUUAUAUAAUUAAAUUAUCUAUUUACAAAUAAUCUUUUAUAUAAUUUUUAACACACUCAAAUCAUAUAUAGUACAAGUGAUGCUAAGCUAAAAUACUCAUAAUAUAUAAUAUAUAAAAUAAGAACAAAUGAAAGUGUAAUUAAAAUACUAUUAAAAAAUAAUCCAUAUUUAUUAAAUCAUAUCAAAUUUUUUGGGAGAAUUAUCUUUUGGGGGUAGAUGGACCCCAAAUUAACAAAAGGUCCAUAUAAGUCUUCAAAUUGAGUUGAAGGAUAUGAAAUAGUAACGGACAAAUAUGCCCUUUAAGAACACAUAUAAAAUAUUUUAUAAAAUUAAGUUAAAUAAUUUUUUUUUCAAAAAUACUAAAUUAAAUAAAAGUAGUUUUCAAAAAUAUUAAAUUAAAUAUUUUUUUUUCAAAAAUAUUAAAUUAAAAUUUUUUUUCAAAAAUAUUAAAUUAAAUUAAAGUAUUUAAAAAAAUAUUAAAUUAAAUUUUUUAAAAAUAUUAAAUUAAAUAAAUUUAUUUUUAAAAAUAUUAAAUUAAAUAAAUUUAUUUUUAAAAAUAUUAAAUUAAAUAAAUUUAUUUUUGAAAAAUAUUAAAUUAAAUUAAUUUAUUUUUUAAAAAUAUUAAAUUAAAUAAAAGUAUUUUAAAAAAUAUUAAAUUACAUAAAAGUAUUUUUUUUAAAUAUUAAAUUAAAUCAAAAAUAUUAAAUUAAAUAAAAGUAUUUUUCGAAAAUAUUUUUUUUUUUUCUCAAAAUCAACAAAGGGCAUUUUUGGAAAUACUGAAGGAUGAUAUCCUUCAACUCAAUUUUCAUACUUUCAUUGGGUCUUGGCCUCAAUUUGAAGAGUUACAUGGACCUUUUGUUAAUUUGGGGGCUCAUCUACCCCCAAAACAUAAUUUUCCCAAAUUUUUUAAAGGCUUUAUAAUAACAUUAUAUUCAAUUAUUUUUGCCUUGGCGGGAUCCUUGUCGUUUUCUUUAAAUGAAUUUCAACCCUUUUGAUAUAUAUAUAUACAACAAUGUGUUGGGUCAAUUGAUGAAUGUGGUCCCCUCAUCUCCUAAUAAGGACAUUGAGAUUAAUGCUUUUCCCUUUUCUCUCAGGCAAGAAUAUUUGUUUUUUUUUUUCUCAUUGUCCACCAAUUUCUAGUUAUCAUAAACAUGACGGUCCAUCUGACUUUAAUAAUUUAACCUCAAUCCAAUUUCUCAUAAUCAAUCGCGUCAAAUCAAAUUAGACAUGCUACUAUCGAAAAUUAAUUAUAUCCAAUUCAGAGCAUCCUCCCAUUUUUUUCAAUAUUAAAAUAGUUAAAUUAUAAAAUAAAUGGACCUCAUUAUAUAAUAAGCUUGACUUAAAAGAUGUUUCCUAAAUGAAAAUGAUGAUUUAAUAUAACUUAAUUAUUGAUUUUAAAUAAUAAAAUUAAUUUAAAGUAAAAAAUCAAAAUAAAUAAUUUUUCUAAUUCUGAAAUAUCAUUUGAUUUAGUACUUAUAGGAUUUUAUUUUUUGAUAUUAAUAAGAAAGAAAUAAAAUCUUGUGUGACUCCUUAUUUGGAAAAGACAAGCCUGUGAAAACCGAGUUGGAUCCAAGAGUCAAAUUACUUAUUGGGAAGGUAUGGUAAAAAGACCGUAGCAUCCCUUUAAGUCUCUAAAAACGGGUCUCUACUAAAUAAGGUAAAGCAAACAUGACAAUUAACUAAGAAAUCAAUAGAUACCAAUGAAAUGGUCAAAUAAUAAAAUAAAUCAUAUAUGAGAAUAAGCAAAAUGGGAAUGAGAGCAUACCUUGGCAGCAAGUAAUAGUGUGCUAUCAUGGAAACAAGGUUAGCUCAAGUAUAAAAUUAUCACAUGCAUAUCAAAGAGUAAGACAAAGAUCAAACAAUAUUCAUUAAAUAUAGCAAUUGACAAUCAGAAGAGAUUAUAUGUAGGGCCCCCAUCAAAGUCCAAUUUAUCUUGCAUGAAUUAAUACCACAAAUUCCAUUGUUUUGAAAUUAUGAAAAUUGUUUUCAUGCUUAUUGAAAAAAAAUCAAGGAAAACGAAAUAUUAUUUGAAAAUCGAAGAAAAUUUGUGAAUUAAAAAAAAUAUUUGAAUAAUAGAGUGGAAUUAAAACUAUUUGAAAGAAAACUGGAGUUUUGAAAUUUAUUUGAAAAUUGAAGUCUCGAAAAUUAUUUGAAAAUUGGGGUUUUGAAAAUUAUUUGAUAAUUAGAAUUUUGAAAAUUAAAUUUAAGAAUAAGAAUGUUGAAAAUUAAAUUUUGAAAUAAAUUAGAAUUUUGAAAAUUAUUUAAGGAUGGAAUUCUUUUAAAAUAAUAAUAAUAAUAAUAAUAAUAUAAUAAUAAUAAUAUUAUAAUAAUAAUAAUAAUAAUAAAUAAAUGUGAAAAUUGGAAUUUUGGAAAUUAGAAAUUAAAUUCGAAAAUCAGAAAAUCGGAAUUUCGGAAAUUGGGAAUUAAAUUUGGAAAUCGAAAUUUUGAGGAAUUAUUUAAACAUGGAAUUUUUUAAAAAUGAAUAAAUAGAUAAAAUAAUAAUAAUAAUAAUAAUAAUAAUAAUAAUAAUAAUAAUAAUAAUAAUAAACAAAUGUGAAAACUGGAAUUUUGGAAUUUGGAAAUCGGAAUUUUGAAGAAUUAUUUAAAGAUGAAAAUUUUAAAAAUAAAUAAAUAGAUAAAAUAAUAAUAAUAAUAAUAAACAAAUGUGAAAACUGGAAUUUUGGAAAUUAGAAACUAAAUUUGGAAAUCGGAAGUUUGAAGAAUUAGUUAAAGAUGAAAUUAAAAAAUAAAUAAAUGAAUGAAUGAAUGAAUGGAUAAAUAAAUAAAAUAAUAAUAAUAAAAAUAAUAAUAAUGAUUAAAUAAAUAAAUAUUAUUUAUUUAAAUUCACACAAUAGUUUAGUUAACUAAGGCAUUUGAAUGCACUAAAAUCCCUAUAAAUAAAUAGCAAAGGGAGUAUAUGCAUGGUACUUUCAAAUAACAUUCUGCACACUUUUCCUGGAAGAAGACAACACAACAAACAAACUAAAAUGGCUUUGAAAGGUCAGAAAGUCUUAAGUGUAAUGAGGUGGCCUAGGCUUCCUUGGCAAUGAAAUUAAUGAUUUUUCCUGAAGAAGACAACACAACAAACAAACUAAAAUGGCUUUGAAAGGUCAAAAAGUCUUAAGUGUAAUGAGGUGGCCUAGGCUUCCUUGGCAAUGAAAUUAAUGAUUUCAUUUUCUACGUUGGCUUUAUCCACCUCCAUCCCUUUUCCAAAAAUGACAUGUCCUUACAUUUUUCCCCAAUCACUUGUUAUCCUUUUCUCAUGGUUCUAAUAGCACUGUUUAAAAAGAGAUGAUUGAUUGAGAAUUUAAAAAAUAAAUAAAUUGUCUUUCACUACUCUUGUUCACCAAUUACAUUAAUCUUUAAUUUAUAAAACAAAAAUUACUAACAACAAAAAUAUUGAAAUUUUGUAGCACUCUUAAUUAAUUAAAGAUACACAAGCUAGAUCAAACACUCAAAACUAAAAAUAAUCUAAUUGAGUUUUAAAUAUUUAAUCAAAUUUAAUUUUUGAAAGCUUUCCAAAUUCAAAGCUUCGUUUUUAAUAUUUAAAAAAAAAGGAGAAAAUUAUUAAAAAUAAAAGAAAACAUUCUACCUUUUCUAACAAGUAUAUGGAGUUUGGGACGAUUAGACAAGGUUUCAGUGUCAGAUUUAUGAAAGUGUAUAAAACCUAUUCACUCUCAAAGCUUGUAUAUAGAUGAAUGCGAUUGAAAUCCAAAAAAAGAUUCAAAAAGAAAAAAAGAGAAAAAAAAAAUCUAAAAUUUCUUAUUAUGAAUUAUCUUGAAAAUAGGUACAAUAUUAUCCGAAUUUAAAUAAAACUAAUUUACCCUUACUUCCAAAAACAAAUAAAAUAAUGAUAAUAUAGUAAGUAAAUAAAUAAGAGAUAUAGUAAUUAAAUAUAUAACUCUAAUAUACUAACUAAAUAUAUUAAUAAGCAUUCCCACGUAUAUCUCUCAAUAUUGUUUCCUUGAGAUCCUCUAAGAUUCUACCCAUGUCAUUUCUCUUAAAGUCAUAUCCUUAGCUCAUUGUUUAAUAUCUCAUAGUCCAUUAUUGUGUGUUGACUCAUUUCCCUUGAAGUCAUAUCCUUGGCUCAUUAUUUAAACAUUUCAACCACUCUUGUCGGUUUACAGAUUGCGUUAGUUGCUUCCGCACAUAUUAUUAACUGAAUGGAGCAGUAAAACAAAUAUAACAUAAGAAAUCAAACUUAAUUAUUUUGAAACCCAGAGAAACUAGGUGCUACAUAUAAUGUGUCCAUCUCACCUUAUUACAAUGAUGUAUUACAUAUUACUCCUUCACCUUAUUAUAAUGAUUUAUUAGACAGGGGACGUUAAUCAACUCAUCCAUUUGGUUAUAUUAUAGGGUUAAUGAAGAAAGCCGCAAUGUUAUUCUUCAUCACUUUCCCAACAUGUGUGUAACUGUCUUGCUCUUUGUAAAUGACAUCUGCGGCUCGUGUAAGAUUGAGAACACGAGCAAGGAGAGGCAUUGGAACAGCAGUAGGUUUGAGGCAUUCCUGGCUAAUAUCCAUCCAUGCAUUCUCAAUUUGCUUUCGAAACUCACUGUAUGCCUGUUCUUCAGAGACACUGAUUACUACUCAAAAAGUGCUAUUUGAUAGCUUGUAAUUAACUCUUUUAAACACUUUUGAGUAGUAGUUAUUGCCUUUUAACCCAAUUAACAUGUUAAGGACCCUUGCAAUCAAUUCUAAUCAAAUUGUGUUAAGUUUUGGUGUUUUGAUAGCUUUUUGAUCACCAAAGCAAUCCAAGAAUGAGGGAGAGCUGUAUAUAGUUCAUGGCAAAGCUUUUGGAAGCUCAAAUUCAUGAAGAAACCAAGCUUUGGAGCCCCAUAUCCCUUUGCCAAAGUCGUUCAAAGUAUGCAAGGAGAGAGGAAAAACAGAGUGAAGAAAACAGAGGAAAGCCAGCUGCAGUCUUCUUUUGCACUUUUGGAGCACUUCCCGAAGUCCAUUUUCUACAUUCUAUAUACCAUUUCAAAGCUCAGGAAGUCAAGAAUCCAAUGCUUCAAACGGUGCGCGAUUCAGAGUUGAAACGAAGAAGUUACAGCCACUGCAAGUCAAUCACUCUAAAGUGUUGCGGAAUCAGCCUUUUGUUGCGAGAAUUUCGCAGCCUUUUUAUACAGUGUUGUGGAUUUCCUCCUGAAGUUGCCCGAGAUAUGCCGCAAGCUGGAAGCUGAGAACCUCAAGGUGGAAGCCAACUUCGCAGCCCUGCGAGGAUAGCUUGUUGUUGCGAAGUGAUUUCGCAGCCUUCCUUGAAUGUCUGCAAAAUCUCGCAGACACCAUUUUCUCCUGCGAAAUGGUUCCUGGAGCUUCCCGAUAUUUGCCACCGACUCUUUUGGAUAUUUUUCUUCAGAUAUUUUUGUAUAAAUUUCCAUUUUCUCCUUAUAUUUAACCACUCGUGUAAUUCCUUAGCUAGGAAGUAGCCAAGGAAGGGUAAAUUACCUUCCUAUAUAAACUCUCUUGUAAACACUCUCAGGAGACGCUUGGGGAAGUAUGUAAUAUAUAGAUAUAUCAUAUAUAGAAUCAAGGAACAGAGCACUUGCUCUGUUUUUCAUAUAUAUUCUUGUCUUCUCUUUCAUUUUCAUUUUCUAGCCAACCAAACUCUGAGGAUUUUUCCACAGAGGAUGAGAGGCUAAGCUUUUUGUCUCUUGGAGUGAGGAAAGCCGGGUAAGUUUCCACAUGUAUAAUUUGGAAGUUUUGUUGUUUUAGUUUUUAAUGAAGAGAAAGUGUGACCCGUUAAUGGUUUUUAUCUUUUUAGUUAACUUAAAACGCCUUUAAAUCACCUGGGCCAACACUUGGUAACGCAAGUGAUCUCCGUCCAUGGAGAUGCACUAGUUUACCCCUUGCGAGCCUCUGGGAGGUGACUUGAAGGUAGGAUUUUCUAGAAUAGCCAACACUUGGUAAGCUUUUGGACUCCAAGGAGACAUCCAUUAGUUAUCUCUUGCGAGCUUUUGACGGGUAAUCCAAGGUUAAAGAUCACCUUGAAUGGUAAAUGCUAGGUGAGAGGCAUGAGCCAUUGCAAGGUGCAUCAGUGAGAGGGAUUUAGUGUUUGAACCCAUUAAUGGGAAGCAUCUGUACAACACCGGUUGGAGAAGGAACUAUAUGUUAAUUCUCUAAUGCGAGGAAAAGAAACAAGUGACCGGAACUCCCUUUUUGCAUGAGGAAUCUGAGCCUAGUGAUCUGAACUCCAAGAAACUCUUUUCUUUGUAAGUAAAAUCAGUUACUAUUUUUGGUUAGCUUAAAACCAAUUCUUUUUCAUUCAAACAUGUUUAUGUUUUCUUUUAAAGCUAACCUUGAAAUGAAAAGGCACCAAUUCAACUUUGAAUUAAUAUCAUUUGUGAAGUGAAAACUCAUCCCAGUGAACGAUCCUAGAGCCACUAUGCUAUAAAUUUUGUCUUUGCUACCCUAGUAAAUGGUGUAAUAGGUUAUAAAUUUUGUUGAUUACUCCCUCAAUCAAGGAGCACCAGCUGGACACGAAUCAGCUGAGACACCAAGUGGGCACGAAUCAAAUGGCGCCGUUGCCGGGGAUCGAACCCCGAAUCAAAUGGUGCCAUUGCCACUGCCGCUGCUAGGGACGAAUCAGACACCAUAUUGCUUCAUGUAACAUUCAAUGGCUGAGGCCACAUGCUCUCUCUUUUGCUCAAACUGCAUGUAUAAUACAAAAGUUGAGAAAAAACAAGCGUGUUAUAUUCUUCCCAUUUGAAACACAUAUUCUGCAUACCUUAUGUGAUGAGAUGUCAUCCAUGAGCCUUGCAAUAAAAUUUGAAGAUGACAUAAUCUUAGGAUCGCUGGUCACCCAAUCAAAGGCCUCCUUUGUUGCUAUUUCUCCCAUUCCCACCAAGGACGUGGUUGCAAGCAUGCAGUAUCCAGAGCUUACUAGUGCAACAUGCAAGUACUCUUCGAUUGUUGGCACGUGUUCUUCAUGUAACCAUUUGGCCUCAGCAAAGUAAGCUCGAACUUGAUUCUUCAUCUAAAAAACAUUCAUCCAAGUUAUAUCUAUGUAUAUAUGAGACCAUAUAAAAUAUCAUCAAUGCAAAAGGUGGGGAUCCGGAGUUAAAGAUGUCCUACUACUUCUUUGGCAUAGUGAACCCGAUAUUGGUUUCCUUCUUUCUCCAUCUCUUCCUCGAUUUCUUUGUACACAUCUAAGAGUGCCGCAUAGCAGAGUUUCAUGUAUUCUGGAAGCUGAUCUAUGCUGUUAAUAUCCCACCUGAAAAUAAAAUAAUGAGCCUCGAUUUAGGUAUAUAUAAAUACAAAUAUUAUACACAAUCAAGGUUGGUAAUGUGCAAGUAGCAAACCUCUCAAUGGCUUCUGUGAAGAGCUUGAGUUCUUCAGGAUUACCAUAUGCAUCAUAGAUAUCAUCUAGAAUGGAUGUCAUAGCAAUUACUUUGGUUAGAAUUCGUCUAGCCCGUAAGUAUUGAGGCUCAAAAUACACCCCAAGUAUCCAGAAGUAGCCUUCAACCAAUCUGUCUCGUGCAAAAGGUAACUUUGUAGCAAAGUCUAAUUCUUUCCACCNNNNNNNNNNNNNNNNNNNNNNNNNNNNNNNNNNNNNNNNNNNNNNNNNNNNNNNNNNNNNNNNNNNNNNNNNNNNNNNNNNNNNNNNNNNNNNNNNNNNUCUCGUGCAAAAGGUAACUUUGUAGCAAAGUCUAAUUCUUUCCACCACCUAAAAUUCAUUAACAUGAUCAGCAUACAGGAAAGUGAUAAGAAUGGCCAAGUACAUGUGGGGUGAUCUAAAAACCAACCUUGCAAGAUUGCUUAGCUCUUCCCUGUGCAGUGACUGCACUAGAUUGAAAUCUAAUUUUGCCAGCUCUAGUAAAGUUUUAUCAUGGAAAGCUUCAUCUUGGUAGACGGAUAUAUACCAUCUUGCCUCUAUCCUCUCCAAACCUUUUCUAAUGGGCCGGUUCAGGGCAUGAACAACUUGUUCUGCAAGAGGAUAUCCUAAACUUUCUACCAUGGCCUUGAGGUGAGUGGUGGUGAAAGUAAGUGCUUCUGCAAGUAUGUCCUCUCCAUGAACCCUGAGAUGUGCAGCUUCAUACAAGCCUAGCAGGCCUCGUACAUUUGUGAUCAAAACUUCCUUGAAUCUACCUCGUUCAUCCGUAAACUUUUUGAAUAUACCUACACAAACAUCACCAGUACUUGAACAUAAGAUUUAAAUGAUAAGAAGGUUGAAUAUAAUUUUUUCUUAUUCAGUGAUAAUUAAUCCUUAGUCUCUUACCACAUGAAAUACUGUAUCCUUGUUGCCUUAGUAGUCGAAAUCCAAGAGCAACAUUAUAGAGAUCACCAUCAAUAUCAUUGAGGUCAUGAAAACUCUCAUAAAUAUGUUGUAACGCUUCUUCUAUCUCUUGUUCAAAGUGGUAUGCCACCCCAAGCCGUUGCACUGCAUCAAUGAAGUUCAGCAAUAGGGAAUGGUUAGCAGUAGCAGCCGUUAAUUUCCUUUUCACUUCCUUUUUCAGAUCCUCAAUCUGCUCCACUUUGCAGGCACGUGUAACCUAGACCAACAAAUUUUGUCAUCCAACAUCAAGAAAAAUAACUUCUAAAUAAGUAUAUAAACAUAAUUUCAUUGCAUUACCUUGUCUUCAGGGGUGUAGGUGAUAAAUUGGUCACCCCAAAUGUUGGGGUGAAAAUUUGUCACGGGACGAUUUUUGGGUUUAGGAAUCUGGGCUAGAGAACAUGCUGAGACUUGAGUAGACAUGUUAAUUUCUUGGGACAAUGACUGAACACUACUAUACCUUGAAUGAUGAAUUGGUAAGUAUGAGAGAAAUAGCUUGGCAAGCUCCAUAUUAUUUAUAGGGCAGCACUAGCAUUCAGUGCACAGUUGUAUGCAGUUGAAAAGUAUGUGGAAUUUGGUUUGGUUUUGGGGCCCAUGAUUUGGAAGGGUUGUGCACAGAAGAGACUGAUGGUAAGACAAGUAUUGGUCUUCUAGAGCUUGUGUGAAGAGGCCGCCUAGACUUCCUUUACACAUGAAGUUCAUAUGUUUAAAUUUAAAAAGCAUGCUUAUAUUUAGUACGUAUUAUUGUGUACAAAUUCAGGCCAUUGAGGUCACUUACCGUACGAAAACCAUUGAAUGCAUGUAAGAGUGUGAAAAUAUAUAUAUAUAAAAGAUAAUUAAUUUUUACUCAAACAGUCGUGAAAUAGGAUAAUCAAAUGAAUAAUCUCUUUUAAGGGAAAUAUUUUGGUAUUAUUAAUUUUAAAAUAUGUUCUUUUAAAAUUGAAUAUACAUUUCUCAUAAUAAGAUUGUUCUUAUGAUUUUAUUAUAUCAAAGUUUGAAUGAGUUAAAAUUCGACUUGUAAUAGAAAAUACCAAUUAAAAACUUUAGAGUUUGUGUGUUUAAUUUAACGUCGGUUCAAUUUCUCAUGUCAAAUCAAAUUAGACAUGCUACUAUCGAGAACUAAUUCUACCUGAUUCAUAACAUCCUCCCAUUUUCUUAAAUAUUAAAAUAGUUAAAUUAUAAAAUAAGUGGACCUCAUUAUAUAAUAAGUUUGACUCAAAAGAUGUUUACUAAAUGAAAAUAAUGAUUUAAUAUAACUUUAUUAUUGAUUUUAAAUAAUACAAUUAAUUUAAAGUAAAAAAAUCAAAAUAAAUAAUUUUUCUAAUCCUGAAAUAUCAUUUGGUUUAGUACUUAUAGGAUUUUAUUUUUUAAUAUUAACUAAAGUAAAACAACACUAUAACUUAGAGUAAAUUUAAAUGAUAAAUUUUAAGUUAAUGAUUUACAUAUAAUUUAAUUUAGUUUGUAUAAAAAUAUUUUAUUUGAUUUAUAUUACAUUCAUUUGAGUGAUAGGAAGAUUAAUUAUAAUGUUUAGGAACUAGUUGAAAACAUUUUGGAUUCAUUGAUUGUUUAGAACUCUUAUAGUUUUUUUGGAAUUUAUUAAAUAAUAUCACAUGACUACGUUAAAAUUUCAUAAAGAAAUUAAUAGAAAGAGGAGAUGUAAACUGCAAUAUGAGGGGAGUUCAAUUAUUGAUGGGUGAAGAAUCAAUUAUUAUGAUGAGGUGGAGGAAUGAUAAUUGCUUGGCUGGUUACAUACGUCUCCUCUAGGGACUUGGUGGUUUAAUUUGACUCACAUCAAGUAACUUUUUAUUAUUGUCAUUAUAAACAUUCAAAAUGAAGAACAUGUUUGUAAGGACAUUUAUCAAAUCAAGCAUCAUUUCAUUGAUGUAGGACCCAUACAUAGCAGAAUUAUUUAUUAAAUAUUAUGUGGUUAUGUAAAUGAAAUAUUGGGAUUGAAAAUUUGUCAAAAAUUUAAGAAUUAUCCUAACUCAAAUCACAUUUUAAUAAAAAAAUUAUAUAUUUUUUAUUUUUAUUAAUUAUUUUUAAUCAAGAAUCAAAGUAAUUAAUAAUAUGAUUCUUACAAUAGAUAUAAUUGAAAAACAAAUUAUUUGUAAUUUUCUUUUCAUCUAGAUACUAAUUUUUUUUCCCUUAAUAUUAGUAUUUAUUUUAAUUAAUUUUCUAAAAUAAUUUUUGGUUUGUAUAUAAAAGAACUUAGUUUCCCAAAUUCUUUUAUUACCAUGAUAUUAUUGUGGAUGUGGUCUAUUGAGGUUUGUUUGCCUCUGCUAGAUAUUGCUUUUUAUUGCAUCUCUAGUGUUUUCUUUUAUCUUAACAUGAUAAAUGCAUAAAGUGUCCCAUAUUUAAAUAUUAUGAUGACAAUAUUAUAAACUAAUGGUAGGGUUUUGGUACACAAGCAUCAAUUAGGUUAACAGUUCACCUUGAUGACCUCCUGUAUAAAUCAAGGCUUUGCCGUUUUAUCUAGGUACCUAUUAUACCAAAAGUUUAAGUUCAUAUAAAUCAAGUCAAUUGGAGAGAGACCAAAAGUUUGAGUUAAUAUUAAUCAAGUCAAUUGGACUGAUACUUUAAUAUAUAUAUAUAUAUAGGUACCUAUUAGAACAAAAGUUUAAGUUAAUAUAAAUGAAGUCAAUUGGAUUGAUACCUUAACAUUAAAAUUAAUGCAAGAGUGACCAAAAGUUUAAGUUAAUAUAGAAAUCAAGUCAAUUGGAUUGAUACCUUAACAUUAAAAUUAAUGCAAGUGACCAAAAGUUUAAGUUAAUAUAGAAAUCAAGUCAAUUGGAUGGAUACCUUAACAUUAAAAUUAAUGCAAGUGACCAAAAGUUUAAGUUAAUAUAGAAAUCAAGUUAAUUGGAUAGAAACCAAAAGUUUGAGUUAAUAUAAAUCAAGUCAAUUGGACUAAUACCUUAACAUUAAAAUUAAUGUGAGAGUUACCAAAAGUUGAAGUUAAUAUAGAAAUCAAGUCAAUUGGAGAGAGACCAAAAGUUUGAGUUGUUAUAAAUCAAGUCAAUUGGAUUGAUACCUUAACAUGAAAAUUAAUGCCAGAGUGACCAAAAGUUUAAGUUAAUAUAGAAAUCAAGUCAAUUGGAGAGAGACCAAAAGUUUGAGUUGUUAUAAAUCAAUUCAAGAUUUGAACUUUCUUUUUUUUUUUUUUUUUUGUAAGAGAGAGAGAGAGAGAUAAAUUUGAACUUCCUUUUAAAAAAAACACAAGAAAAUUGAAAUAAGACAAUAAAAUGUUUUUAAAAUAAAACUGGAAAUUGCUUUUUUAAAUAAAUUGUAAAUACAAUUGGAAAACCAUUUUUUAAAAAAAAUAAAUAAAUAAAACUGUAAAGUUUUCUUCUUCAUUUUUAACUUGUGAAACUCAUUUUUUAAAAUAAAAUCUAAAAAGCAUUUGGUUUUAAUAAAAUAGUAAAACCUUUUUAAAAAAUUGCAAAACACUUUUUUAAAUAAAAUUGUAAACUUUUUUAAAUAAAAAUAAUAAUAAUAAAAUUGUAAAAAUCAAGUCUUAAAAAAAUGAUAAAAAAAAAUAGUUUUCUAGUAAAUAAAACCGAAUUGAAUUUUCAUACUUAUGUAAAUAAAAUUUUAAAAAUCUUAUUUUGAAUCAAAACUAAAGAAAUCAUUUCUUUAGUUCAUAUAAAUCAAGGCACCUAUUAUACCAAAAGUUUAAGUUCAUAUAAAUCAAGUCAAUUGGAGAGAGACCAAAAGUUUGAGUUAAUAUUAAUCAAGUCAAUUGGACUGAUACUUUAAUAUAUAUAUAUAUAUAUAUAGGUACCUAUUAGAACAAAAAUUUAAGUUAAUAUAAAUGAAGUCAAUUGGAUUGAUACCUUAGCAUUAAAAUUAAUGCAAGAGUGACCAAAAGUUUAAGUUAAUAUAGAAAUCAAGUCAAUUGGAUAGAGACCAAAAGUUUGAGUUAAUAUAAAUCAAGUCAAGAUUUGAACUGCUUUUUUUUAUGAGAGAGAGAGAGAGAACAAUAAAUUUUCAUACAGAAAUUAAUUUCAUGUGAUGAAUUGCUUGGCUGGUUACAUACGUCUCCUUUAGGGACUUGGUAGUUUAAUUUGACUCACAUCAAGUAUCUUUUUUUAUUAGUAUUAUUGUCAUUAUAAACAUUCAAAAUGAAGAACAUGUUUGUAAGGACAUUUGUCAAAUCAAGCAUCAUUUCAUUGAUGUAAAUGAAAUAUUGGGAUUGAAAAUUUGUCAACAAUUUAAGAACUAUCCUAACUCAAAUCACAUUUUAAUUAAAAAAAUUAAAUAUUUCUAUUUUUAUUAAUUAUUUUUAAUUAAGAAACAAAAUAAUUAAUAAUAUGAUUCUUACAAUAGAUAUAAUUGAAAAACAAAUUAUUUGUAAUUUUCUUUUCAUCUAGACACUAAUUUUUUUUCCUUAAUAUUGGUAUUUCUUUUAAUUAAUUUACAAAAAUAAUUUUUGGUUUGCAUCUAAAAGAACUUAGUUUCCCAAAUUCUUUUAUUACCAUGAUAUUAUUGUGGCUUUGGUCUAUUGAGGUUCACAGUUUACCUUCCAAAAGUUUUUUAUGUUCAUAUAAAUCAAGUCAAUUGUACUGAUACCUUAACAUUAAAAUUAAUGUGAGUCACCAAAAGUUUAAGUUAAUAUAGAAAUCAAGUCAAUUGGAGAGAGACCAAAAGUUUGAGUUGAUAUAAAUCAAGUCAAUUAGAUUGAUACCUUAACAUUAAAAUUAAUGCCAGAGUGACCAAAAGUUUAAGUUAAUAUAGAAAUCAAGUCAAUUGGAGAGAGAUCAAAAGUUUGAGCUAAUAUAAAUCAAGUCAAGAUUUGAACUUUCUUUUUUCCUUUUUUCUUUUUUUGAGAGAGAGAGAGUUAGAGAUAAAUUUGAACUUAAUUUUUAAAAAAAAAAAAAACCACAAGAAAAUUGAAAUAAGACAAUAAAAUGUUUUUAAAAUAAAACUGGAAAUUGCUUUUUUAAAUAAAUCGUAAAUACAAUUGGAAAAUCAUUUUAAAAAAAAAUAAAUAAAUAAAACUGUAAAGUUUUCUUCUUCAUUUUUAACUUGUGAAACUCAUUUUUUAAAAUAAAAUCUAAAAAGCAUUUUGUUUUAAUAAAAUAGUAAAACCUUUUUAAAAAAUUGCAAAACUCUUUUUUAAAUAAAAUUGUCAACUUUUUUUUAAAAAAAAAUAAUAAUAAAAUUGUAAAAAUCACGUCUUAAUAAAAAUGGUAAAAAAAAAAAAAGUUUUCUAGUAAAUAAAACCGAAUUGAAUUUUUAUACUUAUGAAAAUAAAAUUGUAAAAAUCCUAUUUUGAAUCAAAACUAAAGAAAUCAUUUCUUCUAUAAACAAAAUUGGAUCUGAAUAUUUAUUCUUUUCUAAAUAAAUUUUUAAAAAUCUAUUUUAAAGUAAUUUGUAAAUAUUAUUUUUUUUAAACAAAAUUUUAAAUCAAAUAAAAUUUUAAAAUCCUUUUCCUAAAUAAGUUAUAAAAAAUAUUCUUUUAGACAUAAGAUUAGAUUUGGAUACUUUUUUGUAAAUAAAAUUAUAAAAAUCAUAUAUAUUGUAAUAAAAAAAUUAUAAAAAUAUUCUCUUCUCCAUGAAAAUCAAAGUGGAAUGUUGGUAAAUAGAAUUUUUGAAAAUUAUUCUUUUUUUUCAAAUAAGUAAAAAAAAAAAUCAUUUUUGAAGCAUUAUUUGUAAAUUAAAAAAAAACUAAAACUUUAAUUCUUUUGUACUUAAAAUAGAUUGAAAUCAUCAAAUUGGAGUAACUUUUUUAAUCCUUUGAAUUUAGAAAUAAUUGAACCAAUGUUUUUAAUUAGUUUUAUAAAUCAACUUAUCCAAAUUCUCUUAUUAUUUAUUUUGUUCAUUUUUGUAACAUGGCAAACACCAUGACUUGUUUUAUAUUUGUGUUCUUCUUUUCUCGGUAUCCAUGAUCGAUUAUUUAAUUGUCAUAAUUCAUUUCACUUGCUUACUAGAGGCAACAGGUAUAAAAGCUUAAAUAGGUGUUAUAUACAAUUUAUUUUUGCACAUUCUUGAUAAGUAACCUAACUCUCAAACUCAUUCUUGGUAAACAAACAAUAGAUAUAGAUUUUGUAGUCUUACUCGGGUACUUUUCUUUAAAGGAAAAUUGUUACCUAUAAAUAUUAUGUAUAUAGUGGUUAAACAUUCAAACUGAAGCAGGUGAGCUAGUGCAUUCAGUUAGAGUUGGAAGCUUCUUGCUACAGUUAGUUUGUUAGUUAGUUGCUUAAGUGUACUAAUAAGUUAUCAAGGCAAAUAAAGUAGAUGCCAUAAGAUCUAUUUUCGUCACAAAUCUUCGGGUUAGCCUUACAUUGGCACAGGGUCAAUGAACAAUGAAGCAACAUUAUCUUUCAUCACUUCUCCAACAUUCGUGAAUAUAUCCUCACGACCUUUGUACAUGAAAUCUCCAGUGCGUGCAAAAUUGAGAACACGUGUAAGGAGAGGCAUUGGAAUAGCAGUAGGUCUGAGGAACUCCUGGUUUAUAUCUUUCCAUGCUUUCUCAACCUGCUUGUUAAGCUCGUGGUAUGCAAGUUGCUCUGAGACACUAUAUUGCUUCAUGUAACAUUCAACACUAGAGGCAAUAUGCCCUCUCUCUUGCUCAAACUACAUAAAAAACAGCAAAACAUCAUGUUUAAACCUCAUGGUCUUCGAUUUAUGAAUGAGAAGCUUUUUGGAAGUAAUAUUUCAGAGUACCUUGUGUGAAGCCAUGUCAUCCAUGAGCCUAAUAAUUGUGGAGCAAGCUCUGACGAUCUUUGGGCCGUUUAAUACCCAAUCAAAGGCCUCCUUUGUUGCUAUGAAUCCCAUGCCAACAAAAGAGAUGAUUGUGAACAUGGGGACAUCACAGCUUACUAGUGCAACGCCCAUGUAUUCUUCUACCGUUGGUACAUAUUCUCCAUGGAGCCAUUUGGCUUCAUUGAAGUAAGCUCGAACAGAGUUUUUCAUCUGGAAUAUGUUCAACAAAGCAAAUAUAUAUUAACACUACUAUAUAUUACAUGUAAUGGGGAGACAAAGAUAGAACUCAAGGAUUCUUACUGCCUCUUUUGCAUAGUGAACACAAUAUGAUCUUUCUUCAUUCUCCUUCUCCUCAAUUUCUUUGUAGGCAUCUAAGACAGCCAGGUAACACGGCUUCAUGUAUUCUGGAAGCUUUUCUAUACCAUUAUUGUCCCACCUGAAAAUUAGGUCACCAUUUCCCCUUCUAAGUUUACAAUAUGAAAUAAAUUUAUCUGAGUGAAAUUUGUACCUCAUACCUCUCAAUUGCCUCUGUGAAGAGCUCAAGUUCUUCAAGAGUCCCAUACGCAUCAUAGAUAUCAUCUAUCACUGUUAUUAGAACAAGCAAUUUGGUCUGUAUUCUUCUAGCAUACGAGUAUUGGGGCUCAAAACAUGCCACGACAAUCCAAAGGUAGGUUUCCACCACUCUAUCCCGGACAAAAGGUAAACUCGAAGAGAAAUCUAAAUCUUCCCACCACCUGAGAAAUACAUUAAUUCACACAAAUUAUCCUCCAAGUCAAAGUUGGAAUUUAAGUGAAUGUAAUAUUUGAGAACUAACCUGGUGAUGUGGCUUAACUCUUUCUUAUACAAUGACUGCAGUAGGUUGAAAUCUAACUUGGCAAGUUUCAAUAAAGCUUUACUAUGUGAAGCUUCAUCUUGGUAGAUGAAUAUGUAAGGCCUUGCCUCCAGCCUCUCCAAACCUUUCCUAAUGGGCCGGUGUAGGGCUUGGGUUACUUGUACUGCAAGAGGAUGGUCUAAAUGUUUUACCAAAGACUUGAGGUGAGUGGUGGUGAAAGCAAGUGCUUCAUCUAGUAUAUCCUCUUCCUGAACCCUGAGAUGUGCAGCUUCAUACA
rnacentral:lncRNA from 1 species